rnacentral:lncRNA from 1 species
AUGGACUUUAAACUAGGAAAGAUGGGGGAAGGGGAGAGUUAUAGUGCCAGGGUAGCUGGCAAAAGACUGCUCAAGUCGGGAUGCCUCCAGCAGCUGAAUGCAGCCAGGGAAGUGCGCAUGGGAUGUGGCUAUGGAGGAUCCUCCUGUAUCCCUCCUGGGAAACCUGCAUGCUUGAUCACCUCCCUGAAAUGCCUGUACACCAAUGCAUGCAGCAUGGGGAAUAAACAGGAAGAACAAGAGAUCUGUGUGCAGUCGCAGGGCCAUGAUCUCAUUGCAGUUACAGAGACAUGGUGGGAUAGCUCGYAUGACUGGAGUGCUGUCAUGGAUGGCUAYGUGCUUUUUAGGAAAGACAGGCCAGGAAAGCGAGGUGGUGGAGUUGCUCUUUAUGUGAGAGAGCAACUGGAAUGUAUUGAACUGUGCCUAGGAGUGGAUGAAGAGCGAGCUGAGAGCUUAUGGGUAAGGAUUAAAGGGCAGGCUAGCAUGGGUGACACUGUUGUGGGUGUUUACUACAGGCCACCUGAUCAGGAAGAGGAAGUUGAUGAGGCCUUCUACAGACAGCUGGAAGUAGCCUUACGAUCCCAGGCCCUGGUUCUCAUGGGGGACUUCAACCACCCUGAUAUCUGCUGGAAAGACAACACAGCUAGGCACAAACAGUCCCGGAGGUUCCUGCAGAGCAUUGGUGACAACUUCUUGACACAGGUGGUGGAGGAGCCAACAAGGAGAGGUGCGCUGCUGGACCUCGUACUAACAAACAAAGAAGGACUGGUUGAAGCUGUGAAGGUCAGGGGCAGCCUUGGCUGCAGUGACCAUGAGAUGGUGGAGUUCAGGAUCCUGCGAGGAGGAGGCAGGGCACUAAGUAGGAUUGCAACCCUGGACUUCAGGAGAGCAAACUUUGGCCUCUUCAGGGACCUACUUGGAGGAAUCCCAUGGGUUAGGGCCCUAGAAGGAAGGGGUGUCCAAGAGAGCUGGUUAAUAUUCAAACAUCACCUCCUCCAGGCUCAAGAGCGGUGCAUCCCUAUGAGUAGGAAGUCAAGCAAAGGAGGUGGGAGACCUGCAUGGAUGAGCAAGGAGCUCCUGGCAAAACUCAACCAGAAGAAGGAAGUAUACAGAAAGUGGAAAGGGGGACAGGCCACUUGGGAGGAUUAUAGGAACAUUGUCAGAGUAUGCAGGGAUGCAAUGAGGAAGGCUAAGGCCCGUUUGGAAUUAAAUCUGGCUAGAGAUGUCAAGGACAGCAAGAAGGGCUUCUUCAAAUACAUCAGCAGCAAGAGGAAGAUUAGGGAAAAUGUGGGCCCUUUGCUGAAUGGGGUGGGUGCCCUGGUGACGAAGGAUACAGAGAAGGCAGAGUUACUCAAUGCCUUCUUUGCUUCAGUCUUUACUGCUCAGGCCAGCCCUCAGGAACCCCAGAUCCUGGAGGCAAGAGAGAAAGUCUGGAGGAAGGAAGACUUUCUCUUGGUGGAGGAGGAGUGGGUUAGAGAUCAUUUAAGCAAACUUGACACUCACAAAUCCAUGGGCCCUGAUGGGAUGCACCCACGAGUGCUGAGGGAGCUGGCGGAUGUCAUUGCUAAGCCACUCUCCAUCAUCUUUGAAAGGUCAUGGAGAACAGGAGAGGUGCCUGAGGACUGGAAGAAAGCCAAUGUCACCCCAGUCUUCAAAAAGGGCAAGAAGGAGGACCCAGGAAACUACAGGCCAGUCAGCCUCACCUGCAUCCCUGGAAAGGUGAUGGAGCAGCUCAUCCUGGAGGCCAUCUCCAAGCAUGUGGAGGAAAAGAAGGUGAUCAGGAGUAGUCAGCAUGGCUUCACCAAGGGGAAAUCAUGCCUAACCAAUCUGAUAGCCUUCUMUGAUGGAAUGACUGGCUGGGUGGAUGAGGGGAGAGCAGUGGAUGUUGUCUACCUUGACUUCAGCAAGGCUUUUGACACUGUCUCCCAUAACAUCCUUGGUGGACACCAAGUUAAGCAUGAGGCAGCAAUGUGCCCUUGUGGCCAAGAAGGCCAAUGGUAUCCUGGGCUGCAUCAGGAAGAGUGUUGCCAGCAGGUCAAGGGAGGUGAUUCUCCCCCUCUACUCAGCCCUGGUGAGGCCACCCCUGGAGUACUGUGUCCAGUUCUGGGCUCCCCAGUACAAGAGGGAUGUGGCACUACUGGAGCAAGUCCAGCGAAGGGCUUCUAA